UUUAAAUGUAAAUUUUUGAACUAAAUUAGUAAUAGAUAUGAUCUUCAAAUUUAAAGAUUUUGGCGGUAUUUUAGUCUAUUCAGAGGAACCUGUUCUGUAAUUGAUAGUCCACGAUUAACUUUACUUAAUUUUAAAAAUUUGUAUAUCGUUGUUUAUAGAAAAUUUUAUAAGAAAAAUAAUUUUUAAUAAAUUUAAUUAAAUUAUAAAUCAAAUCAAGGUGCAGUUUAUAGUUAAGGUAGAAAUGGGUUACAAUAAAUUUAUUUAUUAAUGGAUAUAAAUUUUAAAAUUUUAUUAAAGGUGGAUUUGAUAGUAAUAUUGUUUAAUUUAAUAAUAUGAUUAUAGCUCUAAAAUAUGU
rnacentral:rRNA from 1 species